rnacentral:lncRNA from 1 species
CCGAGAACCGAGCAGAUCAGCAGAGGACAUCUUCCGGCGGCGGCCGGCUGGUAGAAGCUCCGAAGGACGCAGCAGGAGGCAGCCCGGGGACCCCCUGCAGCCGCAACCGGGAGGGGGGGGGGGGGGGGGGGCGCCGCCCAGGUUGGCCGAUGGGUAGCUCCUCCAGUGUGGCUAGGUAUUAGUUUUAUUUCUGUUUCCAAUAGCCUCUUCUCCAUCUGAGCGCUUAUUCCACUUUGCGACUACGGUUUUAGUAGUCUUCCUUUUAAUCCAUUGCUAUGCUUAGCCAUUUUCUUAUGAAAGUUGGCUAAAUAGCUGGCCCUUAAUCUAUUCUUUUUUAAGAUAAUAAAGGAGCAUAAUCCUUUUUCUUUUUAUUGAUAUUUCUUUGGCUUAAUGGGUAAUUAUUUGUUAUCAUUGGGGGCAUUGCUUCUUCCAAUCUAGAGGGUUGAAUUUGCACCAAAGGAAACCAUAAAUUUCAUAUACAAUAGAAAUCAUUGUCAAGCAAGGAAAUGCAAUGUGGUUGGGUGUUUGGAUCUGUGGCAACGGCAACUCUGUGAUGGCAAGAAUUUUCCUUGCUAUAUGAGGCUAGCCAAUUUGGCUCUCCCACCCUGGCAAGGUAAUGCUAGCCUGGCGAGGCGAGGCAAGCUAAGGAACUAAACUGGGCCUUAUUAUCUUGGAAAUAUUUGGGGGAAAGACAAUGGUAUGGUAAGGUUAGCAAGAUUGAUGAAAAUUGACUUGUGGAGAUAAAAUUUUAUAAUGUGAAUGCUACAUUAUAGUUUUCCUGUGGGAAACUCAAGUGGCAUGGACAUUGAGCAGGUUCUCUUUAGGGAUUGGGAUGAGAUGUUUCAUACUUACAGCAAAUGAACAACUACUACAAUAUACUGUAUAUAGACAAACAAUAUUCUCACAACAAAUGCACAGCUAUAAUAUACUGUGGUAACAAACAAUAUUUUGGCACCUCAUUGUCAGCACUACAUGAACAAACUAUAUAAAACAAAAUUCCUGUAUAUAUGAGCAUUGAGAUUUGGAGGAAACAUAACAGACAAGAAUAAGUACAUAUCUUAGCUGGUAAAUAUCAGUAAUACCAUGACUAGCAGUAACUAAUGACUGAUCAACCAAUUACUUUUUCUCACACGCGUAUUUCUUUGACAUGGUGCAGCUUCAUCCUCCAAUUGUCUCUUUCCCACUCUACCUUGAAUUCAGGGGGCUGCAUCGAGACAUUAAGCUUUCUGAGGGAUGAAACAAGCUCCAAACCUUUAGGAACUUCCUUGAGAGACGUUAGAGACAAGAGAAGCAGCACUUCAAGCCUGACAAGCGCACCUUCCUCAAUAAAUAGCCUCUUUACUCGAUCCAGGUUCUCCAUGUAAAGGGUUUUUAGCUGAGGAAACCAUCCCGCAUGUAGUAUUAUAUCCUCAGCCCAGCAUUCCUUGCGGAUGCUCAAGAAUAUCAGAUUUGGCAUGCUCAAGGAGAUUGAGGACAGUGGAUCGGCAUUAUUUUUGCAGAAGCUUAGUGUCAGAUAUUUGAUGUUGAUACCAUACUCACAGAACACGGGUCCCCUGAAGGCCUCAUUGUCCCAGCAUCCUCUGAUAAUGAGUUUUUCUAAUUGUGUAUGUCUAGGAUUGAAAGCAUCAAAAUUCAGAGGUUCAUCUAGAUUGUUGGCGCUGAUGAGCAAGUUAUACAGGUGGUGCAUGUUUGAGAUAGAUGCAAACAGUGUUGCACAGUCAGCACGCCGCACAUUCUCAACACAUAGAAGCCUCAACUCAGGUAGUUGUUUCAAUAGCUCCACUGAUUUCUUGGUUGCUUCAACAGUCUUGAGAGUUUGCAGCUCUACCAAAUCAAAAAUUCCGUCUGGAAACUUCACACCUUGAAAGUAGCGUAAAUGCUGCUGUUUUGUAUCAGCCAAUUUCUCAGCAAAUAUGUGCCUCAGUUUCUUGAGCCUGGAUACUUCUCUUGGCAGAGUUUCAAUGCCAGUUGACUUCAGGUCCAGAGUUUCCAAAUUCGAAAGCCUUUUAAUUGAUCUUGGAAGGGACUUAACACGCGUUCUCCUCAGGCAAAGGUAGCGCAAGUUGAACAAAUCCCCAAUAUUAUCUGGGAUCUUGUCAAUGUGUGAGUCUCGCAUCUCCAGAACAGAAAGGUAUUUAUACUUGGAAAUCAGUAAGCACAGCAACUGGUCAUUUGCUACUGCACUGGUUGCGAUGAAUGUUCGAAGGUGUGGAAGAUCCAUUCUUGAUCUAAUCAGCUGAUUCACCUGAUUUGAGUUUGACAAUAAUAAUCGACGAACAUCGUCCUUGUUCUCAUGUACCAGAUUGGUUAUUUCUGCCAGACCAAAUCUUUCCUUCCUAGAAAAUGAGAGAGCCAAUUCUCGCACAAUGCCAUGCAUCCUGCAGGUUACUACUCUGCCAAUCUCAUCGUUCUCCACAAGUUGCAGCAUGCUUUGAUGGAUCAACUCAGUGAAGUAGCCAUCUGCAACCUCCUCCAAUGUACUUUGCCCUCUGUGUGAAACAAAACCCUCGACUAUCCAUAGCUUGACAAGCUGCUCACGUGUGAAAAGAUAAUCUUGUGGGAACAUGCUGCAAUACAAAAAACAGUUCUUGAGGUGUCUUGGCAGGUACGUGAAGCUUAUGCUUAGUGCACUUCUUACUUUGCCUAGGCUAGGGUUGUCCUCCAACUCACAUUUAAACUGAUUAUCCAUUCUUCUCCAUGUUAUCUCGUCUGGUUCUUGUACAGUUAGUACAUUUCCUAUUGCAUUAAUUGCAAGUGGCAAGCCUCCACACUUGCUCACAAUCUGCCUAGAUAAUUCAUUGAGAUGAGAAGGGCACUCCAUGUUGCUAUUCUGAAAAGUCCUUCUACAAAAUAGUUCAAAUGCAUCAUCACUGCUGAGUGGCUUAAGCUUCAUCUUGUACAUUUCUUGAGCCAGUGAAGCAACAUCAUUAUUCCUAGUUGUGAUAAUUAUCCGACUGCCUUUGUGGUCAUCCAUUAAUAGGUCAGACAACUCGUUAAAAGCUCUUGUAUCCCAAACAUCAUCGAGUACAAUCAAGUACCUCUUAUUUGACAACACUCCCCUUAAUGUAUCAUUGAGCUUGUUAUAGUGCAUAGUGCCAAGGUCGGCAGGAAUUUUGCCUUGGUCCUCAUUUAACUCCUGAAUCAACUGCCUCAAUGUAACAAUAAUGCCAUAGUUAUGUGAUAUUGCAAUCCAUGCAUAACAAUCAAAACUUUUUCGUUCCAUCUCCAAAUCAUAUACCUUCCUGACAAGGGUAGUUUUGCCUAGUCCACCAAAACCCCACACUGAUAUUACUACAAGAUUGGUUUCCUUGGGAUCUAGCCAUUCGCGCAGCAGUUCCAUGUCUUCCUUCAUGCCAACAAUGCCCUCUACUUUAAUGGCAUGAGGGUUCUCACUAUUUGUUGGGGAUUGAACUUGAGUGUUGUUACUUGUGUUAUCAAGUAACUCAUUGAACAUUUCUCUGUAGUCUCUUUUGAGCUGUGACAGGUGUUUGAUCUCUUCCUCAAUGUCUUUCAUUCCUGAAGCAAUGCCGUGAAAAAUAUUUGCAUAGUAGGUUGUGUGUACCACCCUCUUGAAAUAGCCUUCUUCCUGUAAGAGAGUGAUGUUAUAACAGUAGUCAUCUAUUAUGUCCUCAACACAAUAUGCAACCUUCCGCACCCUCACUAUCCAGCCUUCAAGAACUUUAUUGCUGUAGAUUUUUGACCCAACUUGGCUUAAGAAAUGAUGAAUCAUGUCCAAUUCCCUCUCGAUGCGUUUUGCAGUCCGUGUUAAAUCUGGCGAUGGUGUGGCUUCUUUCUUUACGAGAGACUGCAGUGAUGCCAUUCCAAAAGAGGUAACAAGUUUGCUAAGAGCUAGGACUACUGCUGCCUCUGCCAUAUUUUGUCUUCUUCACUAAUGAUGUGGUCUUUUGGAUAUGCUAGUUUACUCAACCAGAUUUCACCUUCAUUUAUGUUCUUCACUGAUCCUGUCGAAUACAAUAUAAAUUUCAGCUUUUGAGUGCAUUAGUGACCGACUAUCCAUAUUGAAUGUAUGUUAUCACUUAUUCCAACUUACCCCCAGCUAGAUAUCCAUAUUGAAUGUAUUUUAUCACUUAUUCUAACUUACCCCACGCCAUAUGUAAUAUAUCAUAAGCUUGUUAGAUGAACUUUAGAUCUUCAGGUGAAGGAAGGACACUAAAUUGUGUCUAUUAUAAAUUCACAUAGCAUGCUACAUAAUGAUAUGCAUGCGAUACAUAACUUAACAUGUGAGUUGCCAUCAACAUUAGGAGAUAUAGAAUAAUUUUAACUUGUUAAACAUGGUAGUGUUUGUAAAUCUUGUAGGAGUAAAGCUCUACUCUGGAAUAAUUCAGGGUCAUGUUUAGUUCCAUUCAAAAUGCAGAAUUUAUUGCCCUCAUGAGGGCCUCAUGAGGCUCUUUUGGGUUUUUUUGGCCUCUUGAGGCCAAAAUCCAAAAUGGAGAAUAACUACCUUUUUGCCAAAAAAAAUUGCAUGGUGUUUAGUUCCAUUUUGCAAAAUAAUGAACCAAAACCUAAUUUUUUUUUGGAAUAUGAAGGGAACUAAACACCCACUAUGUUUACUGCAAAGUUUUGUUUUCGCAUAAGUAACUUGAUGCUACAACUAUAUCAAAGCAAGGUACCUGGUGAUAGCAUUUCAGUUAUAUAAUGCCUUAGCUGCUUUUAUUUUGUAUUUAUCGAUGAUGAUAUCUUCAAUGCAUUUGCAAAAGCGAAGGCAGAUGAACUAAAAUCAUGUUGUAUGCCUCACACACAGAUUGAGAUGUUCCCCGCGACCACGAAAUAAAUAGACAAGGAACACAACUGAAUCCUGCAUACAUCUUGAAUGAGAUUGCGCACCUUACGUGAUGGAAGAUCCCGAAGGGAAGAGCACAGAGCUAAAGACGAAAUUCAGUGGCGUGUUGUGAAUUUUCGAGUUCAGUACUGGACCCAUGAAGAAAUAUAUACAAGCAUCAGGUAUUCAAGUCAAGGCAUCCUUCUAUGCGUUGGAGGUUCGGAACAGAAGAAAAAAAAACGUGUUACGUGUUUACAGAUACAGAAUGAUCGAACCAACAUAGACUCAGUCAAUCAGGACCGUUUGGAAACUUUGAACGGUUAUUUAUUCCUUCCGUCGUGACGUUUGGGCAGGAAACACGAGGUCUAAGGUCAAAUUUGCGUGUUCUGUAGGACACGGCGACGUCUGAAAAGAGGCCUUUCCAUCAAGGGGGUGAGUCACGACCAGAUUUUGCAUAAAUCAUUUUUGGAAGAGAUGGUUGAUUAGCAACGAUUGAAGAAAAAAAAAAUGAAAUUGAGUUAGGGCUCGUUCGGUUAGAAUGGAACAGUAUGGGCUGAGCCUUUACAGGUGCCACCGAACCAACAACUUAGCAACAUCGUGUUCGUCCUCUCAAAACAACAGAUUCUUAAAUCACUUUAUUCUUGCCCACUGCGAAUUCCAUUCUUUGCAAGAAUCUGCCAAACACACGCAAGUAGGUAACUUUGAUUAGCUAAAUGGUCCCUCCCGGCAGAUAUAAAAGUCUCCAUGUUAAAGUUAGACCCUGAGACAUUCUUGCUUCAAAGCUAUUCAGAUGCAGG